rnacentral:lncRNA from 1 species
GUCAAGGAAUUCGAGAGUACUGAGGAUCAGGCGCUGCUCUCGUCACCAUGCAAUGCAAUGCCUGUUCAAGUAGAAGGUAGCAGGAUUACGAGACUCCCUUCCAAAUGAGCAACUAUUUUCUUCCACAACUAACUAACGUCUUACCUUUCGUCACCCCCUUGCCUGGUUUGCCCAUUUCCAUUCUACCUUGUGUUGUUUUCUGUUUCGGGCAUGGACAUAUAUUAUUUAUUUAAACUUUUAGAUGCUUAUUAUUAUUGUUAUUAACAACAUUUCUAGGAUGAAUCUUUUGGUGGAUUCAGUCGAUUCUCUAGUUGAACAAAGAGGAAGUAAGAAUUCUAGCAAAUAAAAGGGCACCUAAGUUUGUGUCGUCUGUUUAUCUUUUCAUUGUUUGUUAUUCUUGUAUUUUUUUA